CUCUAACUCAGACUGUUGGGAGCUACGGGCGGGAGACAGUUGCCAGGGUAAUGGGGCGAUUCCCACUCGCUGCCUCCUUGGGCCCGGCCCGACCAAGCUCCCGCGUGGAAACGGGGGUCUUGGGGCAGAAUUACAUUUCUCUCCCAUCUACCGAUCAUCACUCAGCCAACCCACCCACCCACCAUCGUUCUACACACCCUGGCAGGCUCCGGCACCGACGCCAUCUGUUGAUUCGCCUCCCAGCGGAUUCUCUCUCUAUCUAGAGCUGCCCGUUAACUGAAUACAGUACCCAUAGUUAAGUCUGAUGUUCCCUGAAGCAGUAAUUUUACAUUGCAGGGUUUAUCUAAAAUUCAAAGUUAACUGGAUUUUUGUUUGCUAAAUUUCACAGCCUUGUUCAUGCUAAGCAAACAGCUGCCUUUUGUUUUAAUUCCAGAGGGUCCCUGCUUCAGCGCCAAAGCUCUGCCAUCGGGUAAUAAAACUCUGAGUUGUCCCAACUCUGUCCCCCCCCGAGCUUCGUGGUCUGCAAACGCGUAAAAGUAGAACAAGUCUUAUAGGGUGACUACUUUGAAGAAUAACUCUCAUUUGAGCAUAGAAUUUGAUCAAAGUGUUUGGCUAUUGACUGUCUCCCUGCCCUAGCUGAGUUGGUUCAAGCCACUACUUUACCACCCUUACAGAUUCCUAAGAAAUUCCUGGACCCUUACCUUGAAUAGCAGCAUGGGCCACUGAUCCCACCUAGUAAUGCACACACGUGAACUCAAAUUCCUACUCAAAUCACCAAGAAAAAGCAAGCACGCGCAUGCGUCCCAGCAUGCAAACUUGGGCUUGGAACCCUAGGAAUCCAAAUGGUUCUUAAAGGACGUGGCUUUCCGUACACUUUUACAGCACCGAAUACCAAGGUGCUCAGAAGAAGCUGCGGCCCGAUUUGCCACCGAACCUUAGUAAACUAGACUCUGGGGUUUCUCUUCGGUCACGGAUGCCGUGCUACAGCUGGUUCCCUCUUCUGCUCAGGAUUGCGCAAGGGAAAUAAACACACACAGCACACUAUGGUAGCUGAAAUGUGCUCAGCAGCAACUGCACUAAUUUUAAAUGAUGACUUCUACCAAAAUAAUUAAGUAUCCAAAAUUAAAUUACAGUCGAUGGAAAAGAGAUAAUGCAUUGUCUGAGUUGGUACAUUGCCUGUAACUUUUCAAGCAUGAAAGAUAAACUCUACUCAACUCACAAUUAUAGCAGAGGCUGAGUAUCAAGUGUCCUGACUUGGUAAUUGGUAGAAUUAAGUUCUUAUUCUGGCUUAUCCCUGACUCAAGUAUCCUGUGUCCUUAUUUCUCCGUCUAUAAUAUGAAGACAAAACAAAUACACUGGAAGACAAAGGUUCAGCAAAGAAAAAGCAGCACUGAUCCCCAGACUGAAGGCAACAAAUAGUUCUGAUGGUCAAUUUCAUGGCUGUGAUACUAACAAGAGACACCAUUCGAUUCAAAAACAACUUAGAGGGCUCAGGCAAUUACAACUUUCUCUUGUCUACUAUCCAGAGAUUCCAGAUUAAUAAAUCAAAAAUGUCCAUGAA